rnacentral:rRNA from 1 species
UACGUAGGUGGCAAGCGUUGUCCGGAAUUAUUGGGCGUAAAGCGCGCGCAGGCGGUCCUUUUAAGUCUGAUGUGAAAGCCCACGGCUCAACCGUGGAGGGUCAUUGGAAACUGGGGGACUUGAGUGCAGGAGAGAAGAGUGGAAUUCCACGUGUAGCGGUGAAAUGCGUAGAGAUGUGGAGGAACACCAGUGGCGAAGGCGACUCUUUGGCCUGUAACUGACGCUGAGGCGCGAAAGCGUGGGUAGCAAACAGG